rnacentral:lncRNA from 1 species
CUCAAUUACUUAUAUAAUAACACUUGGUUAUCAAUUUAUGUUUGCGGUACAAUAAAGUAUUCUCUAUUCAACUAUUCACACACCCUAAAUAUCCAAAAACCCAUUUCCUGCCUCCCGGCUAAGUUGCAGGUAGUUCUAUCCUGAAUAUCCAAUAAACCAGUAUUAUUUUCCCUAACUUAAGUAGGAUGGUGCAUGUAGUGUUACCGCACAAGACCUCCAAUUUUCUAAAACCCUCAAGUUUUUAGUCUAACAGAGACAAUGAAUCUAAAACCCUCAAGUUUUUAAUUCGCAAAACUGUAAAUUCGGAAAGUGCAAAACAACAAUAUAAGGAGCAAAAGUAAAUUAAUUGGUGCUAUGUUCAAUUAAUAUAGCGGAUGCAAUCUGCGAUUAUAUUAAUUAAAGCCCAAUUAAUGAGGAGUAAAUAUUAAGGGACAUUUUUGUAACUAUUCGAGAUUUAUUUGUUUAAUACAUAGUUCUAUUAUAUUUAAUUAAAGUACUUUGUUAAUUUUUAUUUUUUCAUAAAUCAAUGAAACAUUAUAAUUAAAUUCUAUUUCUCAAAUAAAA